rnacentral:rRNA from 1 species
GAUGAACGCUGGCGGCGUGCCUAAUACAUGCUAGUCGAGCGAACGGACGAGAAGCUUGCUUCUCUGAUGUUAGCGGCGGACGGGUGAGUAACACGUGGAUAACCUACCUAUAAGACUGGGAUAACUUCGGGAAACCGGAGCUAAUACCGGAUAAUAUUUUGAACCGCAUGGUUCAAAAGUGAAAGACGGUCUUGCUGUCACUUAUAGAUGGAUCCGCGCUGCAUUAGCUAGUUGGUAAGGUAACGGCUUACCAAGGCAACGAUGCAUAGCCGACCUGAGAGGGUGAUCGGCCACACUGGAACUGAGACACGGUCCAGACUCCUACGGGAGGCAGCAGCAGGGAAUCUUCCGCAAUGGGCGAAAGCCUGACGGAGCAACGCCGCGUGAGUGAUGAAGGUCUUCGGAUCGUAAAACUCUGUUAUUAGGGAAGAACAUAUGUGUAAGUAACUGUGCACAUCUUGACGGUACCUAAUCAGAAAGCCACGGCUAACUACGUG